GAGGAAUAUUGGUCAAUGGGCGCAAGCCUGAACCAGCCAUGCCGCGUGCAGGAAGACGGUCCUAUGGAUUGUAAAUUGCUUGUAUUUGGGAAUAAACCUAUUUACGUGUAGAUAGCUGAAGGUACCAAAUGAAUAAGCACCGGCUAACUCCGUGCCAGCAGCCGCGGUAAUACGGAGGGUGCAAGCGUUAUCCGGAAUCAUUGGGUUUAAAGGGUCCGCAGGCGGAUUUAUAAGUCAGUGGUGAAAGCCUACAGCUCAACUGUAGAACUGCCAUGGUAAUGUAAGUGUUUACUUCGGUCGAAGUGUGAGGAAUAUGACAUGUAGCGGGGAGAUGCUUAGAUAUGUCAUAGAACACCGAUAGAGAAGGCAGCUCACUAGGCCUGGAUUGACGCUCAGGGACGAAAGCGUGGAGAGCAAACA
rnacentral:rRNA from 1 species